rnacentral:rRNA from 1 species
UACGUAGGUGGCAAGCGUUAUCCGGAUUUACUGGGUGUAAAGGGCGUGUAGGCGGGACUGCAAGUCAGAUGUGAAAAUUAUGGGCUCAACCCAUAACCUGCAUUUGAAACUGUAGUUCUUGAGUGAUGGAGAGGCAGGCGGAAUUCCGUGUGUAGCGGUGAAAUGCGUAGAUAUUAGGAGGAACACCAGUGGCGAAGGCGGCUUACUGGACUGUAACUGACGUUGAGGCUCGAAAGCGUGGGGAGCAAACAGG